CUUAGAUAUACAGUGUGCUUCGAAAUAGUGCAAGGUGCUACGAGAGAGAAGGUGCUUGCCACUCAAUACAAUAUGAAUUUGAUAUCUUGAGGGCGAUUCGCGCCUGGUGGAAGAUGAGGCAGUUGUGCGAAAUUGGAUAGAAAAAGAGAAAGGAAUAUGAAAACUCUUGAGAAAUUGAUAGUGUAUGGGAAGAUUUGGGG
ensembl:ncRNA C34E11.11 ncRNA